rnacentral:rRNA from 1 species
AGGAUGAACGCUAGCGGCAGGCUUAACACGAUGCAAGUCGCGGGGCAGCGCGGAGUAGCAAUACGUCGUGGCGGCGACCGGCGGAAGGGUGCGUAACGCGUGAGCAACUUGCCCGCAUCAGGGGGAUAACCCGGUGGAAACGCCGCCUAAUACCCCGUAACAACAGGGACCGCAUGAUCCUUGUUUGAAAGCUCCGGCGGAUGCGGAUGGGCUCGCGUGACAUUAGCUAGUCGGCGGGUAACGGCCCACCGAGGCGACGAUGUCUAGGGGUUCUGAGAGGAAGGUCCCCACACUGGAACUGAGACACGGUCCAGACUCCUACGGGAGGCAGCAGUGAGGAAUAUUGGUCAAUGGGCGGAAGCCUGAACCAGCCAUGCCGCGUGCAGGAUUAAGGCCCUAUGGGUCGUAAACUGCUUUUGUGGCGGAGCAAUAAGGGUUACGUGUACGCCGAUGAGAGUACAUCACGAAUAAGCAUCGGCUAACUCCGUGCC